UGGCAAAAGACUUGGUCUUUUCUUUAUCUCUUGUCCAUUCAUUUUAAGUUAAUCACGCAGUAAAAAAAACAGAAAAUCCAUAUCUGAAAAAAUCCAUAAUCCUAUUUUUAUUUUUACUUCUUCGUUACGUUUUUGCGGAUAUUAUUCAAAAUUACGAUAUUUUCUUUUCUAGAUUACUAUCUUUUCUAAUCUUUCUCUUGUUUUGUUUCGCGUGUGAUCAUUAACUCGAGGUAAAAUCUUCUAAUCCUAGUUAAUAUCACACGCGAAAUAUCAAUGA
rnacentral:lncRNA from 1 species